rnacentral:misc_RNA from 1 species
AACGCACAUUGCGCCCUUUGGUAUUCCGAAGGGCAUGCCUGUUCGAGCGUCAUUAUCACCCCUCAAGCCCAGCUUGUCGUUGAACACGGCGACAUUCGGUUGUCGCCCGUUCCAAAGAUAAUGACGGCGUCUGUGAGGACUCCAGUACACUGAGCUUUCGGGCACGUACUUGGCUAGAAAUCCAGACCCGGUCUUUUUUACUUUAUGUAUUUUCUAAGGUUGACCUCGGAUCAGGUAGGAAUACCCGCUGAACUUAA